rnacentral:misc_RNA from 1 species
GUGAGUCAUCGAAUCUUUGAACGCACAUUGCGCCCGCCAGUAUCCUGGCGGGCAUGCCUGUUCGAGCGUCAUUUCAACCCUCAGGCUCUGCCUGGCGUUGGGGUCCUGCGAUGCAGCCCCCUAAAGACAGCGGCGAGCACGCCCCGAAGCUGAACGUAGUAAUACAUCUCGUUCUGGUGCAGGGCGUCCUCGGCCGGAAAACACUUCUAUGGUUGACCUCGGAUCAGGUAGGAAUACCCGCUGAACUUAAGCAUAUCAAUAAGCGGAGGA